GAUGAACGCUGGCGGCGUGCCUAAUACAUGCAAGUCGAGCGAACGGACGAGAAGCUUGCUUCUCUGAUGUUAGCGGCGGACGGGUGAGUAACACGUGGAUAACCUACCUAUAAUACUGGGAUAACUUCGGGAAACCGGAGCUAAUACCGGAUAAUAUUUUGAACCGCAUGGUUCAAAAGUGAAAGACGGUCUUGCUGUCACUUAUAGAUGGAGCCGCGCUGCAUUAGCUAGUUGGUAAGGUAACGGCUUACCAAGGCAACGAUGCAUAGCCGACCUGAGAGGGUGAUCGGCCACACUGGAACUGAGACACGGUCCAGACUCCUACGGGAGGCAGCAGUAGGGAAUCUUCCGCAAUGGGCGCAAGCCUGACGGAGCAACGCCGCGUGAGUGAUGAAGGUCUUCGGAUCGUAAAACUCUGUUAUUAGGGAAGAACAUAUGUGUAAGUAACUGUGCACAUCUUGACGGUACCUAAUCAGAAAGCCACGGCUAACUACGUG
rnacentral:rRNA from 1 species